UUUACUGCAGAAGAAAAGUUACAAGGUUGUGUGUAGAGCCAUCCUCAGGAUUAGAGUCAUCAGUCUGGUUCUGCUGUGACUUUUCUGUAUCUAAGAAAGCAAACACAGGAUAAUGCAUUACAGAUGUUCUCAGUGAGGCAACUUUUCCAGAGCCAAGAAGCAUUCAUUUUCUUACACAAGCAGCCUAAGAAGCAUGAAGUCUCCGGGUGGAGCUUGCCUACGCUGAAACAGCUGAUGCCGAACUCAGCAGCUUUUUAUUCAGCAAAGCCACCAUCAGCAGCCUAGAAUAUGGCCCACGACUACUGCAAUGGUCACUUCUUCUGUCCCUUAAGAAUCGUCAUGCCUCAUCUAGCCGCCUAGAGUG